AGUCGAGCGAGUCUGCCUUGAAGAUCGGAGUGCUUGCACUCUGUGAAACAAGAUACAGGCUAGCGGCGGACGGGUGAGUAACACGUGGGUAACCUGCCCAAGAGAUCGGGAUAACACCUGGAAACAGAUGCUAAUACCGGAUAACAACAGAUGAUGCCUAUCAACUGUUUAAAAGAUGGUUCUGCUAUCACUCUUGGAUGGACCUGCGGUGCAUUAGCUAGUUGGUAGGGUAACGGCCUACCAAGGCGAUGAUGCAUAGCCGAGUUGAGAGACUGAUCGGCCACAUUGGGACUGAGACACGGCCCAAACUCCUACGGGAGGCAGCAGUAGGGAAUCUUCCACAAUGGACGCAAGUCUGAUGGAGCAACGCCGCGUGAGUGAAGAAGGGUUUCGGCUCGUAAAGCUCUGUUGUUGGUGAAGAAGGACAGGGGUAGUAACUGACCUUUGUUUGACGGUAAUCAAUUAGAAAGUCACGGCUAACUACGUGCCAGCAGCCGCGGUAAUACGUAGGUGGCAAGCGUUGUCCGGAUUUAUUGGGCGUAAAGCGAGUGCAGGCGGCUCGAUAAGUCUGAUGUGAAAGCCUUCGGCUCAACCGGAGAAUUGCAUCAGAAACUGUCGAGCUUGAGUACAGAAGAGGAGAGUGGAACUCCAUGUGUAGCGGUGAAAUGCGUAGAUAUAUGGAAGAACACCGGUGGCGAAGGCGGCUCUCUGGUCUGUUACUGACGCUGAGGCUCGAAAGCAUGGGUAGCGAACAGGAUUAGAUACCCUGGUAGUCCAUGCCGUANACGAUGAGUGCUAAGUGUUGGGAGGUUUCCGCCUCUCAGUGCUGCAGCUAACGCAUUAAGCACUC
rnacentral:rRNA from 1 species